CAGAUUUCCAGUAGCUGUAAGAAAUGCAGAAGGAAUUGGGCCAACAACUAUCACAAACAUCACUACACAGCCAAACAGAGAACAAUCCACAAAUGCUAUCUUGUGGUUGUCACAGAAAAAUUAUCUCUACCAAAGUGAACCAGGAACCAUGGAAGAAAUGCUAUGUAAGAAUGUCCCAUGGAUCAAAAUGCAUCACUGAUACAAAGCAAUUUUUUGAUCUUUGGGAUAACUGCUGAUCUACAUGAAAAUGAGCUCUUUAUUGCAGAUGGGCAACACAUUUGGACUGUUUCUCCAGCCAAUCUCACAAAUCCAAGACUUCUCUACAAGAGUAAUGUUACUGUGAGGGAUAUUUCUGUGGACUGGUUGUUUAAAAAGCUGUACUUUGUUGUCAACCUUAAGGUAUACUUUUGUUCUAUUUUUCCUAUAAAUUGAUCAUAUUCUUCUACCAAAUGUUUCACAAGGUGA